rnacentral:misc_RNA from 1 species
AACGCACAUUGCGCUCGCCAGUAUUCUGGCGAGCAUGCCUGUUCGAGCGUCAUUUCAACCAUCAAGCUCUGCUUGCGUUGGGGAUCCGCGGCUGCCCGCGGUCCCUCAAAAACAGUGGCGGGCUCGCUAGUCACACCGAGCGUAGUAACUUUACAUCGCUAUGGUCGUGCGGCGGGUUCUUGCCGUAAAACCCCCAAUUUCUAAGGUUGACCUCGGAUCAGGUAGGAAUACCCGCUGAACUUAA